rnacentral:rRNA from 1 species
AGCGAACGCUAGCGGAAUGCUUUAUACAUGCAAGUCGAACGGAUUUUGAUUUUUGUAGCAAUACAAAGAUUACGAUUAGUGGCGAACGGGUGAGUAAUAGUUAGGAACUUGCCGAAUAGUGGGGGACAACAGUUAGAAAUGACUGCUAAUACCGCAUAUUCCCGAGAGGGGAAAGAUUUAUUGCUAUUCGAGAGGCCUAACCACGAUUAGCUUGUUGGCGGGGUAAAUGCCCACCAAGGCAGUGAUCGUUAGCCGAUCUUAGAGGAUGAUCGGCCACAUUGGGACUGAGACACGGCCCAGACUCC